GGGCUGGGGGGAACUCACUCUCUUCAGCCAGUUUAAGCAGUGACAGUAUCAGGCCCAAGGAUAUCAUCUAGUGGAGUAUUUAUCAUCUAGUGGAGUAUUUCAUUCCAAAAGUGGUUUCAGUGAAACAGGGGAGAGCCUGAACGUAUUGUUAGUUCAAUGCUUUGCCAUCGGCUAAGGAGUUACUGACAUUCUUGAGUCCCAUGCCAACAAGUAUCCUCCUGCCUGGUGUUGCUCAUGCCAGUAGAACAAGCCUGAGUUUGGUUCUGAGGCAAAGGAAAGCCUUGAUCAGAGAAUGGAGAGGUGGAGGCUCCUGCUGUAGAUCACAGGCUCUCCCCGACCAGUGGUGGGAUGGGGUUGCUUUAUAGAGGCUGAGAGGGUGAGUGUAGGUGUGCUGCUCAGGGCUCUGGUUGCAGUGCUGGGCGCAGCGUCAGCGCAUACGGCCACCAUCUGGAACCCCAGUGCUGUGCUCAGCGCUCCUGCAUGUGGCCCACCAGCUCGGGGCUGAGGUGUCCCGCACAGCCUCUCUGCACACUGCUUGCAGCUGUGGUCUUCAUGGUGUCGUGUGCAGCACUUCUGCACAUGGCUCCCAGCUGAGAAGUUGGGCUCAGAGCUCUCUGAUGAGGAACUCUGGUCUGAAGUGCCCUAGGUGAGGCUUCUGCAGUCACUUCCCUCUGAGCAAGUGGAAAUAGAGGAAGCACAGAAGAAAGGGAAAAGAAUUUAGAAAAAUCACAUACCUAGGCUUCAUGGAUG
ensembl:lncRNA